ACGUAGGAGACGAGCGUUGUCCGGAAUUACUGGGUGUAAAGGGCGCGUAGGCGGGUUUGUAAGUCAGAGGUGAAAUCUCCCAGCUUAACUGGGAAACUGCCUUUGAUACUGCGAAUCUUGAGUUCAGAAGAGAGAGAUGGAAUUCCAGGUGUAGUGGUGAAAUACGUAGAUAUCUGGAAGAACACCAGUGGCGAAGGCGAUCUCUUGGUCUGAUACUGACGCUGAGGCGCGAAAGCGUGGGUAGCAAACA
rnacentral:rRNA from 1 species